GACGUAGGAUGCAAGCGUUGUCCGGAUUUAUUGGGCGUAAAGAGUUCGUAGGCGGUUCGUUAAGUCUGAUGUUAAAGACUGGGGCUCAACCCCGGGAGUGCAUUGGAUACUGGCGGACUGGAGUGUGGUAGAGGCUAGUGGAACUCCCAGUGUAGCGGUGAAAUGCGUAGAUAUUGGGAAGAACACCAGUGGCGUAGGCGACUAGCUGGGCCAUAACUGACGCUGAGGAACGAAAGCCAGGGGAGCGAAUGGG
rnacentral:rRNA from 1 species